rnacentral:misc_RNA from 1 species
AACGCACGAGACCUGCGGACCUGCGGAAGGAUCAUUAAUGAGAAGCUGCCCCUCGUGGGUAGACCUCCCACCCUCUGUGAACUUACCUUUGUUGCUUUGGCAGGCCCGUCCUCUGGACCGCCGGCUUCGGCUGGCCCGUGCCCGCCAGAGGAUUCCAAACCCUGUCUGUCAGUGUUGUCUGAGUCUAUAUGAAAUCGUUAAAACUUUUAACAACGGAUCUCUAGAUCGGAAGAGCACACG